ensembl:lncRNA
AACCUGCAUGGGGGAAGGUUAGGCGGAAAAGAGGAAUUUACAGAGUAUUAGCAGAAAUUAGCCAAUACCGACACAAGCUCAAUUAGUUUUUUUUUUUUUUUUUUUUUUUUUUUUUUUUGGGUCUCUGUUGGCUGUUCUUGAACGUGAGUAAACGCUGUGCAGAGAGGGAGAGCCACAGCACACUGCCAUCUCCGAGCCGCAGCCAGGAGAUGGACUGACAGAUUGCAAAUUAAAAUAGUCCUAAUGUAAGAAUUAAUGCAGCCCCCCAAAUCUCUAAGAACACGAGCCCUUUAGUAACGAGCCCGGCGCUGAAGGAGCGUUGCUGCUGCCUGGGCUGGUUCUGCGUUAUGGAGAGAGGCUAGGGAGGGACAAUAAAGCAAGUCACGGGCAGAGAAAAUCACAAGGUGGUUUGAACAAUGGAGAUCUGUGAUGUCCCAGCUUUUUGGAAACUUUUAUGCUCAAGCCAAGAGGUUACUAUAGAUGGAGCUAAUCUGCACUGGUGGUGUGCUCCAGCUGUGGCUGGGCCAAGCUGGGCCACGGAGAGCCCAUGGGAUCUGCUGAAGGAACCACCAAGAUCUGCUGUGGGAGCACACGACUACGAGUGGCCCAGCUAUCGAGUGCCUGAGAAUAAGUGGUUUCUUCCACAGGAAAUGACCAGGUAUGUGUUAAAGAGAGCUGAAGAAAAGAGGAAGAACAUGGCUGUAUUGUGAGACUGAGCAGUUUGUGAAAAUUUUCCAUUUCAGCUCGUAYAAACGUGCAUGCCUUUUAGAGAUAGUAAUAAGCAUUUGAGUGUGAAUCUUGCUAAAUAUUAUGAGAUGCCCAGAUGUUGUGGCAACGGAUAACACAUACAAAUACUUAUCACAACAUAUAAAUAAGCAAACAAAAACAAUUACUAAAGGCACUUAAAUGUUAAGCGCUCUGUAUCAUCUUCUCAUCACCAAUUUUUUGCAGUGCUUUAGGUAUAACUGCUCACCCAGGAACAAACAGCAGAAAGAUACUGAUAGUUCUUUAAAAUAACAUAAAUCCUAUGAGCUGGAGUCUAGUCCCACUGAAAUUACUUUGGGUUUUGCCAUUGGUUUCAAUAGAAUGAGGCUAGGACUUUGUAUUUUCCAAAUCAGGGGCAUAUCAUUCAUCCUCAUUGUGGCAGACAUGUUAUAACAUUAACACAGUGAAGGGGCUCACCAUACAAGUUACAUCAAUAUGCAGUUUAAAUAUGUUUAGUGUAAUGUUUAUAUCUUUUUUAUUCACUUUUAUGCGAGCCUAAUACAGCCAGCCUCAUAAAGCUCACUCUUGCACCAGAUUAAAGUGGUGUCUUUGUAACGUUUACUGGUUGCUCAUAAAUCACGGUGGCACUUUGUUACUGUCCACAAGCAGUUUUUUGUGCUAAAGGUUUCAAUCAUUAAGAUGUACAGUAUUAUCUCAGGCAUAGUUUUAGUCCUGGAGAAAUUAUGCUGAGAGAUGCUUUUGUAUGUAUGGCAUUUGUAGAAAAUAGUGUGCCUACGUUUGAAAGCUGAUACAUAUGAUACCAUUAGCUGCUGCAUUAACAAGCACUUUAACUAAAUAUACAGAAAAUUCUCUUGUGUAUUUAUGCCGUGCAGUAAAAGUACUUAUCACACCAGUUUGCAAAUACCCAGUGUUUACCUUAGAUGUCUAUUUCAUCUCAAUUUAAGGUUUUCUGGGCUUUGAACACUUAGAUUUCAGGUACAAAUC